rnacentral:lncRNA from 1 species
AUAAUUUUAGUUGUAUUUCUUUGUAAUUUUGUGUUGUACAAAGAUUAAUUUAACAUUUUCUCUGGAAGUAUUAAUUUAGAAAGAUAAUAUGCUUCAUUGGUGUUGUGUUUUGAAGUGUGAAAUGUGAUAAGUCAAGAUAAAGUUCACUUUUAAACUGAACUAAAUAAGGUAUCUGAGAGACAACAAUGGUUAAAUGCAAUACAAUGUACAGGUUUUACUAGCGAAAUGAAAAUUUUCCUGUCCUGUCUGCUGUAAUCAUUUUAUAUCUGGAAAACCAGCCGACUUAAUAGAUAAUAACAAUCUCCAGAUUGGGUUCCUUCAAUAAAUAUGGGCUAUAAACAAUGAAAUAAGUUCCCCAAAAUCUAAAAUGGAGUGCUAUCAAAGGAGAAUUAAAGGAAAAAA